CGAGAAUGGAGCCUCCCGGAGCAAAGUUGAGGCCUUAGGAAGGAGCCUGGCAGGACUUUCUUGCAUUUAUGUUUUUGUAUUAACUCAGAGU
rnacentral:ribozyme from 1 species